UAUUAUUAUUAUUAUUAUUAUUAUUAUUAUUAUUAUUAUUAUUAUUAUUAUUAUUAUCAUUAACAUUAACAUUAUUAUUAUUAUUAUUAUUAUUAUCAUUAUCAUCAUUAAACUUAUUAUUGUUAUUAUUGUUAUUAUUAUUAGCAUUAACAUUAUUAUUACUAUUAUUAUUAUUAUUAUUAUUAUUAUUACUCUUAUUCUUAAGUUUAUUACUCUUAGUUAUUCUCCUCCUCAAUCCUUCAAGGGGAGAGUUAAGCUGUACAGGAGGAAUGGAGGGAAAGGGGGGGAGGGGGGAGGGGGGAGGAGGAGGAAGGAGGGGGGGGGUACUUGAGGACUUGACUAACUCGACUGACUGACUGAUUUUCUUGUUUUCUUCCUUUUUUUGUCUUCUUUCGUUUUUUUAUGUUUUUGACUUCGUAUGUGAUUGUUUUUUUUUGUUUUUUUUUCCUCGUAUCAUGUUUUGUCUUUUUUGUUGAUCUGUUUGUUUCUUUGUUUUCAUCUUGUUUUGUUUUCUUCGCUUGUUUAGUUUUGUCUUCUUUUGUUUUUGUUUUUGUCUUCGUAAGCAAUUUUUUCUUCUCUGUUUCACGUUUGUCUUUUUUGUUUGUCCGUUUGCUUGUUUUCAUCUUGUUUUCCUUGUUUUGUUUUCUUUGUAUCUUUAGUUUUGUCUUCUUUUGUUUUUUUUGUCUUCGUAAGCAAUUUUUUUCUUCUCUAUCACUUUUUGUCUUUUUUGUUUGUCUGUUUGUUUUUCUAAGUUUGUUUUGUUUGCAAAGUUUUCUUGUUUUCAUCUUGUUUUCUUUGUUUUGUUUUCUUUAUAUCUUUAGUUUUGUUUUCUUUCAAAAAAAAAUUCCAUAGUAUCACAUUUGUCUUCUUCGUUUGUCUAAAGUUUUCUUGUUUUCAUCUUGUUUUCUUUGUUUUGUUUUCUUUAUAUCUUUAGUCUUGUCUUCUUUCAAAAAAAAAAUUUCCAUAGUAUCACAUUUGUCUUCGUUUGUGUAAAGUUUUCUUGUUUUCAUCUUGUUUUCCUUUGUUUUGUUUUCUUCUUUACUGUUGUCUUUAUAAAAAAAAUUCCAUAGUAUCACAUUUUCUUGUCUAUUUUUUCUUGUUUUCAUCUUGUUUUCAUUGUUUUGUUUUCUUCAUAUUUUUAGUUUUGUCUUCCUUCGAAAAAAAAAUUACAUAUUCAUCACAUUUUGUCUUUUUUUGUCUUUGUCGAAGUUGUUUUCAUUUUCUUUGUUUUGUUUUCUUCAUAUCUUUAGUUUUGUCUUCUUUAAAAAAAUAAAAUAAAAAUUCCACAGUAUCACAUUUUGUCUUUUUUUGUCUUUGUCGAAGUUGUUUUCACUUUGUCUUUAAUUUUCUUCAUCGUCCUCAUUUAUCAUCAUUUUGUCUUCCUUCCUUCCUUCCUCCUUUAUCCUCUUGUCUUCUUCUUCUUCCUCUUCUUCACCUUCUUCGUCUCUCCUCGUCAGGUAAUUCUUUGCAAAAUUCGGCUUCGUCAGGUGAGAGAGAGGGGGGGCGGGGGGGGGACGGAUGGGGGGAGGGGGGGAGGGGGAGGAGGAGGAGGGGGGCAUAACAGGGUGGGGGGGGGGAAUUCGGGGGUGAGUUAAAAGUACAUCUGACCCCCCCCUCCCCCUCCUCCUCCUCCUCCCCUUCUCCCCCUUUUUAGAGCAAUCAGCAGGGGUGUGGAGGAGGGGGAGGAGGGGGAGGGGGGGUUGAAGGGGGGGUUGCCCACUUCCAAAUACUGAGCCUGUGGGCAUAUUUCACCCCCCUAAACACACACACACACACACACACACACACGUACAUACACAUACACACACAUACACCCCUCCCCCCCUCCUCCAAGGACCCACUAACACCCCCUCCUGUCCACCCCUCCCUCCCUCCUCAUGCCCCCCUAUAGCCCCCCCCCCCCCCGCCAUGCCCGAGUGCUUGCAGUUAGACACAUGGUAUUUAAAACAAUACCAAACAAUAGCAGGGACAAGCAAGCAUGUGGCCCCGUCAUGGGUGCGAAUGGGGCAGGGCGGGGAGGGGGGUGGAGCGGGGAGGAUAAGAAGAGAGGGUUGGGGUUAGGGGCUGGGUGGUGGUGGUGGCCGGGAGGUGAUUAAGGGGAGGGUAUCCAACAAAGCCGCCUCUACUCGUGCAAGAAUUUGGUAGUCGAUUGUUUUUUUGUGAGAAAGUCGAGAUUGGGAGUUUUUUUUCUGUCGUUCAUUGGGAAGCCUAUUGUAGCGUUGAAUGAGUUAGCGAUAAGUUAAGGAGAUUUUUUGCAAGGCUACCACAUGACUGCCUGCUUUUGUUUAUGUGAGAAAGUCGAGAUUGGUAGUUUUUUUGUCGUUCAUUGGGAAGCGUAUUGCAGUGUUGAAUGAGUUGGCGAUAAGUUAAGGAGAUUUUUUGCAAGGCUACCACAUCACUGCCUGCUUUUGUUUUUGUGAGAAAAUUGAGAUUGGGAGUUUUUUUGGCAAGGUUGAGACACGUUCAAAUUCUGUUAAAAUUGGGAAGCCUAUUGCAGCAUUGAAUAAGUGACAGCCUAUAGUGAAUGGCCUCAGAGGGAGAUUGGGUUUGAAGUAAGAGUCGAUUAGGCACUUUUCUGACACUGUGUUGAAUUUGGGAAGCCUAUUGCAGCGUUGAGUGAGUGGUAACGUUAAGUGAAUGGCCUCAGAGGGGGAUUGAGUUUGAAAUGAGAAUCGCUUAGGGUACUUUUCUGACACUGUUGAAUUUGGGAAGCUCAUUACAGCAUUGAAUGAGUGGUAACCUAUAGUGAAUGGCCUUAGAGGGGAAUCGAAUUUCUGACACUGUGUGGAAUUUGAGAAGCCUAUUGCAGCAUUGAAUGAGUGAUAACUUUAAGUGAAUGGCCUCAGAGGGGGAUCGAAUUUCUAACACUGUGUUGAAUUUGAGAAGCCUAUUGCAGCAUUGAAUGAGUGGUAACCUAUAGUGAAUGGCCUUAGAGGGGAAUCGAAUUUCUGACACUGUGUUGAAUUUGGGAAGCUCAUUACAGCAUUGAAUGAGUGAUAACCUUAAGUGAAUGGCCUCAGAGGGGGAUCGAAUUUCUAACACUGUGUUGAAUUUGGGAAGCCUAUUGCAGCAUUGAAUGAGUGAUAACCUUAAGUGAAUGGCCUCAGAGGGGGAUCGAAUUUCUAACACUGUGUUGAAUUUGAGAAGCCUAUUACAGCAUUGAAUGAGUGGUAGCCUAUAGUGAAUGGCCUCAGAAGGGGAUCGAAUUUUUAACACUGUGUUGAAUUUGAGAAGCCUAUUACAGCAUUGAAUGAGUGGUAGCCUAUAGUGAAUGGCCUUAGAAGGGAAUCGAAUUUCUGACACUGUGUAGAAUUUGGGAAGCCUAUUGCAGCAUUGAAUGAGUGGCAGCCUUACAUGAGGGGGCCUCGUUGGGGGGGGAGUAAUUUGACCAGUGCGAACCUAUCCUUGCACGAGUAGCGACGGUGCGUGAUAUUCUGUUUAUCGUAAAGCGGAACAGCAAGAAGCGAGGAGAGUGAGUGAGAGAGGAGACGAUAAUAUUUCUGUGCGUAUGAGAAAACAACAACAUGCCUGGGGGGGAGUGGGGUGGGGGGUGAAUGGGGGGGCGGGGUUGGGGGGGUAGGGUAGUUGACAGGGUGUAAUAUUAAUAGUUACCAUAGUUAUCUAGAGCAAUUACCUCACUAAUAAUCUUUUUUUUUGUGGGGUUUAUCCAGCGUUUAUCGUAGAAAAGGAGAGAUAAAACGUAACAUGAUCACUUUUAAGAUUACGAAAGGACAUGAUUGAUGGCGUAUAUAUAUAUAUAUAUCAUAGUACUAAUGACAGUCACUUGUGCAAUAGUAGUAGUAGUAGUAGUAGUAGUCAUAACAACAGCAAUAAAUACUUUGAAAAAUAUAUGGAACAUCUGUGUGGUAUAAAUUACAAAAAUGGCUUAGUCUACACACCUCCGCGGCUAACCUAACUCCCUUACGCACCUACGCACACACGCACACACGAGCGCUAUAGUGACCGUUGUUGUUUUUCUUAUUAUUGUUUGUUUUUGUUUGAGUUUUAAAAGGAUUGCGUCAUUUCUUUGUCUUUUUCCCAUAUUUCUUUUUUGUUAGUUUUCUUUUUCUUUUCAUAACUUAUUUUUCUCUCCCCUUUGUUGUUGUUUUUCUCGUUAUUGUUUUGUUUUGUUUUUGUUUAUGAGUUUUUAGGAUUGCGUCAUUUCUGUCUUUUUCACAUUUUUCUUUUUUUGUCUUUUUUUUCUCCCCUUUUUCCUUUCUUUCCUUCCUUUCUUUUAAUUUUCUUUGUUUUCUUUGAUAAUAAUUUGUUUUUCCUUUAUUUCAAUUUUCUUUUUCUUUGUCUCUCUCCCAUUUUUUUCUUUUCUUAAUUUUCUUUUUCUCUUCAUAUGUCUUUUUCUCUCUCCCCUUUUCCCUUUCUUUCCUUCCUUUCUUUUAAUUUUCUUUGUUUUCUUUGAUAAUAAUUUGUCUUUCCUUUCUUCCUCAAAUCUGCUUUUGUUUCUUAUGUCUGUUUUUUUUCUUCUUUUUCUUCUUUCUACUUUCUUUUUCUUCCAUCCUAAUUUGUUGUUGUUUUUAUGAUUUUCUUGUUUGUCUUUAUCCCAUUUUCUUUUUCUUAUCUUGUUUUCUUUCUUAUAUCUGUCUUUCCCUUUCUUCAUUUUCUUCUUCCUCCUUUCUUUCUUUUUCUUUGUAAUUUGUUUUUUUUUAAUGAUUUUCUUGUUUGUCUUUCUCUCUUUGUCUUGGUCUGUCUGUCUUUCCUUUUCUUAUUUUCUUGUUUUCUUUCUCUUCCCUUUUUCUUUUCAUUCUCUUUUCUAUUAAAUUUUGUCUUUUAUCUCCUUUCUUUCCUUCUCUUUCUCUUUUCCUUCGUUUCUUUAUUCUUUUUCCUUUCAUUCUGAUUUCUUUUGUUUUCUUCUUUUUCUUUCUUCUCCUCCUCCUCCUCCUCCUCCUCCUCCUCCUCUUCCUUCCUUCCUUCCUUCUAAUUCUUUCUUUCUUCCUAUUUUUUUCUUUUUCUCUCUGUUUCAUGUUAAUAUAUUUUUUUGGGUCGUUUUGUUUUCCCAAAUUUUCUCUUUUUCCUUUUUUAUAAUUCUCUCUCUCUCUCUCUCUCUCUCUCUCUCUCUCUCUCUCUCUCUCU